UACGGAGGAUGCGAGCGUUAUCCGGAUUUAUUGGGUUUAAAGGGUGCGUAGGCGGAUUUUUAAGUCAGCGGUAAAAUGUCCGGGCUCAACCCGGGCCGGCCGUUGAAACUGGGGAUCUUGAGUGGGCGAGAAGUAUGCGGAAUGCGUGGUGUAGCGGUGAAAUGCAUAGAUAUCACGCAGAACUCCGAUUGCGAAGGCAGCAUACCGGCGCCCGACUGACGCUGAGGCACGAAAGCGUGGGGAACGAACAGG
rnacentral:rRNA from 1 species